rnacentral:rRNA from 1 species
UACGUAGGGUGCAAGCGUUGUCCGGAAUUAUUGGGCGUAAAGAGCUCGUAGGCGGUCUGUCGCGUCUGCUGUGAAAACUCGGGGCUUAACCCCGGGCCUGCAGUGGGUACGGGCAGACUAGAGUGCGGUAGGGGAGACUGGAAUUCCUGGUGUAGCGGUGAAAUGCGUAGAUAUCGAGAGGAACACCGGCGGCGAAGGCGGGUUGCUGGGCCGACAUUGACGCUGAUGCGCGAAAGCCAGGGGAGCGAACGGG